CAACGUGAGCAACCUGCCUUUCAGAGGGGGAUAACAGUUGGAAACGACUGCUAAUACCGCAUAACGCUGCGAUGGGGCAUCCCGAUGCAGCCAAAGGAGCAAUCCGCUGAAAGAUGGGCUCGCGGCCGAUUAGCUAGUUGGUGGGGCAACGGCCCACCAAGGCGACGAUCGGUGGCCGGACUGAGAGGUUGAUCGGCCACAUUGGGACUGAGACACGGCCCAGACUCCUACGGGAGGCAGCAG
rnacentral:rRNA from 1 species